rnacentral:rRNA from 1 species
CCUACGGGGGGCUGCAGUGGGGAAUAUUGCACAAUGGGCGCAAGCCUGAUGCAGCCAUGCCGCGUGUGUGAAGAAGGCCUUCGGGUUGUAAAGCACUUUCAGCGGGGAGGAAGGCGGUGAGGUUAAUAACCUCAUCGAUUGACGUUACCCGCAGAAGAAGCACCGGCUAACUCCGUGCCAGCAGCCGCGGUAAUACGGAGGGUGCAAGCGUUAAUCGGAAUUACUGGGCGUAAAGCGCACGCAGGCGGUCUGUCAAGUCGGAUGUGAAAUCCCCGGGCUCAACCUGGGAACUGCAUUCGAAACUGGCAGGCUAGAGUCUUGUAGAGGGGGGUAGAAUUCCGGGUGGAGCGGUGAAAUGCGUAGAGAUCUGGAGGAAUACCGGUGGCGAAGGCGGCCCCCUGGACAAAGACUGACGCUCAGGUGCGAAAGCGUGGGGAGCAAACAGGAUUAAUACCCUUGAGUC